ACCUGGGAUAGCUCAGUCGGUAAAGCAUGAGAUUCUUAAUCUCAGGGUCAUGGAUCUGAGCCCCACGUUGGGCA